rnacentral:rRNA from 1 species
GAGGAAAAGAAACCAACUGGGAUUACCUUAGUAACGGCGAGUGAAGCGGUAAAAGCUCAAAUUUGAAAUCUGGUACUUUCAGUGCCCGAGUUGUAAUUUGUAGAAUUUGUCUUUGAUUAGGUCCUUGUCUAUGUUCCUUGGAACAGGACGUCAUAGAGGGUGAGAAUCCCGUUUGGCGAGGAUACCUUUUCUCUGUAAGACUUUUUCGAAGAGUCGAGUUGUUUGGGAAUGCAGCUCAAAGUGGGUGGUAAAUUCCAUCUAAAGCUAAAUAUUGGCGAGAGACCGAUAGCGAACAAGUACAGUGAUGGAAAGAUGAAAAGAACUUUGAAAAGAGAGUGAAAAAGUACGUGAAAUUGUUGAAAGGGAAGGGCAUUUGAUCAGACAUGGUGUUUUUUGCAUGCACUCGCCUCUCGUGGGCUUGGGCCUCUCAAAAAUUUCACUGGGCCAACAUCAAUUCUGGCAGCAGGAUAAAUCAUUAAGAAUGUAGCUACUUCGGUAGUGUUAUAGCUUUUUGGAAUACUGUUAGCCGGGAUUGAGGACUGCGCUUCGGCAAGGAUGUUGGCAUAAUGGUUAAAUGCCGCCCGU